CCUGACUCAUUGGAAACUAAUUUGUGUGAAAAUGAUUCAUCAAAUGCUGAACUGAAAACACUCUUUCCUGCUUGUUUCUAGAUAUUUGAAAAAGGUUUUAAAAACAUUUCUAGACCCUUUUGUGAUCCACUUGCUACGUGAAUGGAAGCUUGAAAGAAUUGCUGCUAUGACCACCCAAGCUUCUUUCAAAUUUCUGAGGACCAGCCUUCCUGUGUAAUUCGGUGUUUGAUAUUCAGAUUGUUCUAUUCCUACAAGACAACACUUUGAUCGCUUUCAGAAAAACUGCAUACUAUGGAGACUGAAGAGUGAACUGCCCUUAUGUUAAGUGAGGGAGAACUUCUGUUUGUCUCCAACCCAGGUACACUUUGAUAAGGACCUAGUUCCACUUUAAAUUAAGUAGUAAGA